rnacentral:ncRNA from 1 species
UCAAAGGCGUUGAAUGAAACAAGUAAGAACAUAUCAGAACUGACAGAGAGCUGCCGGCUGCUGAGAGGCGCGAGGGAGAUAUGUUCCGAAUACCUUCAGGAGCUGUGCACCGAACCGUCCCGACGGACAGACCGUUUUCCGGCUGCCGUCCCGCAUGCAGUAGGCUGCACCGGCAUGCGGCCGUUAUCCCGCAGGAGUAUUCACCGUCUGCCGGACAGCGGAUACUUGUUAAGGUCGGCAAUGCGAGUUGCCGAUGAAUUAAGGUGGUACCACGUGGCAUUUCAGCCUCGUCCUUUUG